UCGCGGCUUAUCACCGGCAGUCCCCUUAGAGUGCCCAACUGAAUGAUGGCAACUAAGGGCGAGGGUUGCGCUCGUUGCGGGACUUAACCCAACAUCUCACGACACGAGCUGACGACAGCCAUGCAGCACCUGUCUCUCGGUUCCCUUGCGGGCACCCCGCUAUCUCUAGCAGGUUCCGAGGAUGUCAAGACCAGGUAAGGUUCUGCGCGUUGCGUCGGAUUAAACAACAUGCUCCACCGCUUGUGCGGGCCCCCGUCAAUUCCUUUGAGUUUCACCCUUGCGAGCGUACUCCCCAGGUGGAAUGCUUACCGGGUUACCUCCGGCACUGACCGUUUCCGGCCAACACCAAGCAUUCAUCGUUUAGGGCGUGGACUAC
rnacentral:misc_RNA from 1 species